GCCGGGCACGGUGGCGCACGCCUGUAGUCCCAGCUACUCCGGAGGCUGAGACAGGAGGAUUGCUUGAGUCCAGGAGUUCUGGGCUGUAGUGCGGAUCAGGUGUCCGCACUAAGUUCGGCAUCAAUAUGGUGACAUCCCGGGGACAGGGCACCACCAGGUUGCCUAAGGAGGGGUGAACCGGUUCAGGUCAGAAACGGAGCAGGUAAAAAUUCCCCGGGCUGAUCAGUAGUGGGAUCGCGCCUGUGAAUAGCCACUGCACUCCAGCCUGGGCAACACAGCGAGAACCCGUCU
rnacentral:SRP_RNA from 1 species